GAUGAACGCUGGCGGCGUGCCUAAUACAUGCAAGUCGAGCGAACGGACGAGAAGCUUGCUUCUCUGAUGUUAGCGGCGGACGGGUGAGUAACACGUGGAUAACCUACCUAUAAGACUGGGAUAACUUCGGGAAACCGGAGCUAAUACCGGAUAAUAUUUUGAACCGCAUGGUUCAAAAGUGAAAGACGGUCUUGCUGUCACUUAUAGAUGGAUCCGCGCUGCAUUAGCUAGUUGGUAAGGUAACGGCUUACCAAGGCAACGAUGCAUAGCCGACCUGAGAGGGUGAUCGGCCACACUGGAACUGAGACACGGUCCAGACUCCUACGGGAGGCAGCAGUAGGGAAUCUUCCGCAAUGGGCGAAAGCCUGACGAAGCAACGCCGCGUGAGUGAUGAAGGUCUUCGGAUCGUAAAACUCUGUUAUUAGGGAAGAACAGAUGUGUAAGUAACUGUGCACAUCUUGACGGUACCUAAUCAGAAAGCCACGGCUAACUACGUG
rnacentral:rRNA from 1 species